UGCCAGCCGCCGCGGUAAUACAGAGGGUGCAAGCGUUAAUCGGAAUUACUGGGCGUAAAGGGCCCGUAGGCGGUUUGGUUAGUCUUAUGUGAAAGCCCCGGGCUUAACCUGGGAAUGUCAUAGGAUACUGCCUGACUAGAGUAUAGGAGAGGGAAGUGGAAUUUCCGGUGUAGCGGUGAAAUGCGCAGAUAUCGGAAGGAACACCAGUGGCGAAGGCGACUUCCUGGCCUAAUACUGACGCUGAGGGGCGAAAGCGUGGGGAGCAAACAGGAUUAGAUA
rnacentral:rRNA from 1 species